rnacentral:misc_RNA from 1 species
GGUAGUAACAUACACAGGACCUCGGAGCCUUCUCGAGAGUGCACGCUCAGUCAGAUGUCUGGUUUGCUACCAUGAUACUGCUGCGGCAGUGUUCAGUCAGCAAGAGCUGUAUUCCAAGAGUGAUGACGUUCUUUCUCUUUGAAAGUGCAUGAGCCUUGAGAUGGUCCUUUGGACCCAGCCACCUGGUCAAGUGUUGAAAAAUACCACCUUGGAACAAUUUACUUUUCCAUGAGUCCAGUCGCGAGUUCACCCAGUGUGUCUCCGUGCCUUGUGCCACCAGUUGGUCACAUGUGCAGCCGCCAGGUUUUGUGCUUUCAUGCCCUGACAACUUUUUUUGCACCGCAAGGUGUCGCAGUAAGAGCCUUGAGCUAUACGCCAGGAGCCGUGCAAACAGCAAUAAGCGCCUACCAGGUAGGCCAUGCUGGACCAGCCCGAGCUGUGAGAGCUACAUGCCAUGCCUGAGCCAUCUGCUAGAUGAAGGUCAUUGAGAGAUAAGUGCAAUGCUAAGUCCAUGCAAUCUCGAGCUAGAGCAAAGUGCCAUAGGGCCAUGCCUAUGCUAACAAAGCAGUGAGUGCCAUUGAGCCAUGCUACGCCCGAGCAAAGUGCCCAGAGCCAUGCCAGUGCGAGCCAGAGCGAGUGAAAUACCGCCAGAGCAGCCGGAGCGAGCGAAAGCAGCCCGAGCAUACCGCGCUACACGCGUGACAGUGUCGACCCGAUCAAAAGGGCCCGCUGUGUGAGGAUGUACGCUGUCGAACCUGAACAAGGAUGUACACAAGCAGAACCUCAUUGUAUAGAUUGGAGGAUUAGGACGAAAGAUCCGAACCUCCGGGGAUAAUACAUUAUGGACCAAAGAGUCCCUCCCGAAUUUUGUG